rnacentral:misc_RNA from 1 species
AAGUCGUAACAAGGUUUCCGUAGGUGAACCUGCGGAAGGAUCAUUAUCGAGUUAGGGUCUUCAAUGGCCUGACCUCCAACCCUGUCGUUUAUUAUACCACGUUGCUUCGGCGGGUCCCGUCCUUUUAAUCGGGUCCGCCGGGGGGUCGCGAAGACUUCCUGGCCCGCGCCCGCCGAUGGCCCCCAAUAAAACUCUGUAUAAUCCAUGUUUGUCUGAGUUCUUAAAUUAAAUUAAAACAAAA